rnacentral:rRNA from 1 species
AGCGAACGCUGGCGGCAGGCCUAACACAUGCCAGUCGAACGAACUCUUCGGAGUUAGUGGCGGACGGGUGAGUAACACGUGGGAACGUGCCUUUUGGUUCGGAAGAACUCAGGGAAACUUGUGCUAAUACCGAAUGUGCCCUUCGGGGGAAAGAUUUAUCGCCAUUGGAGCGGCCCGCGUCUGAUUAGCUAGUUGGUGAGGUAACGGCUCACCAAGGCGACGAUCAGUAGCUGGUCUGAGAGGAUGACCAGCCACACUGGGACUGAGACACGGCCCAGACUCCUACGGGAGGCAGCAGUGGGGAAUCUUGCGCAAUGGGCGAAGGCCUGACGCAGCCAUGCCGGGUGAAUGAUGAAGGUCUUAGGAUUGUAAAAUUCUUUCACCGGGGACGAUAAUGACGGUACCCGGAGAAGAAGCCCCGGCUAACUUCGUG